ACCAAUAUCACAGUCUGAAAUCUGUGUCUGAUGAUGUAAUGGCUUGGGCGCCAUAUUAAUUUACGUUUGCGUGUGGCUAUUCAGACCAUUGGCUUACCUUUGUGCCCUUGGCUCGGGAAACUCCACAUACAGUA